rnacentral:rRNA from 1 species
UGGGGAAUAUUGGACAAUGCGGGAAACCGUGAUCCAGCAAUGCCGCGUGAGUGAUGAAGGCCUUAGGGUUGUAAAGCUCUUUUACCCGGGAUGAUAAUGACAGUACCGGGAGAAUAAGCUCCGGCUAACUCCGUGCCAGCAGCCGGGGUAAUACGGAGGGAGCUAGCGUUGUUCGGAAUUACUGGGCGUAAAGCGCGCGUAGGCGGCUAUUCAAGUCAGGGGUGAAAUCCCGGGGGUCAACCCCGGAACUGCCCUUGAAACUAGGUAGCUAGAAUACUGGAGAGGUGGGUGGAAUUCCUAGUGUAGAGGUGAAAUUCAUAGAUAUUCGGAAGAACACCAGUGGCGAAGGCGACUCACUGGACAGUUAUUGACGCUGAGGUGCGAAAGCGUGGGGAUCAAACAGGAUUAGAUACCCCUGUAGUCC